rnacentral:rRNA from 1 species
AACGAACGCUGGCGGCAUGCCUAACACAUGCAAGUCGAACGAGACCUUCGGGUCUAUUGGCGCACGUGUGCGUAACGCGUGGGAACCUGCCCUUAGGUUCGGAAUAACUCCCCGAAAGGGGUGCUAAUACCGGAUAAUGUCUUCGGACCAAAGAUUUAUCGCCUUUGGAUGGGCCCGCGUUGGAUUAGCUAGUUGGUAGGGUAAAAGCCUACCAAGGCGACGAUCCAUAGCUGGUCUGAGAGGAUGAUCAGCCACACUGGGACUGAGACACGGCCCAGACUCGUACGGGAGGCAGCAGUGGGGAAUAUUGGACGAUGGGCGAAAGCCUGAUCAAGCCAUGCCGCGUGAGUGAUGAAGGCCUUAGGGUUGUAAAGCUCUUUUACCCGGGAUGAUAAUGACAGUACCGGGAGAAUAAGCGCCGGCUAACUCCGUG